CCCCUUCAGACAGGCGCGGACCCCUCAGACAGGCGCAGACCCCUCAGACAGGCACUCUGCCUCCAUCCCCCGGGGUUCCCCGCUUGUGAGGGAGCCACCCACGAGCCUCAGUCCUCCAGAUUCCCAAGGACAAGCACUGCGUCCCCAGCUGAAACGGGACACCGGUUCCUGUUCCCACCGCGUCACGUACGACCCGCGUGGCCUCAGACAACCCGUUCCCUUAGAGGCCUCAAUUUCCCCACAUCCUAAGUGCCAGUCCCCACCUCAGAGGUUUUAAAUCCAGUGCAAGAAUCGUAGAAGCACCUCAGACGGCACUUGCCACGUCGUAGGGGCUUCCUGGAGGGCAGCUGGAUCCUCUCCUCUGCCGGCCCUCCACAGAAGCUGGGAAGCCAGCAUCGGGAAGCCGGAAGGACAAGGUGAGAAGAGAGGCCCUCCGGGACACACCACCCUUCCCCUGGAGCCCUUUCAACCUAGUUCUCCUGACCAGGCGCUGUGCUUGGCCAAAGGAUGCCAAGGGGAAGGUGACACUCUAGCAUAAAACAUGGACACAGACUGGCGGCAGGAGAGGAGGUCCCACAGAAAGCAAAGGGGUGUCAUCUGUCAGGACACCCCAGCAUUAACAUGGCAGUGAGGGGGGAGGGGUGGGACAGUGCCUGGAGGGCGGUCCCCCCACGGAAAAGACUCCCAAUCUCAAAACCUAGGCAGGGCCCCUCAGCCACAGUAGCCACUGAAAGGUAGCGGCCACAGCCCUGUGCCACCCCACAGCCAUGGGUCUCAACAAGGGCCACAAGAUGGCCAAGAAUGUGAGCAAGCUGAGGCACAGCGGCCCACAGCUCCUCGCUGAGCACCCCAAGUUCGUGCAGGACAUGAUUCAGCAGGGGUUCAGCUUUGCCCUCUACGAGCAACUCACUGUGGGGCCAUUCAAGGACAAGUGGGCCCUCAAGGUCAUCAAGAAAAGGUCCAGACUCACAUCCACACCAGGAAAGAAGCAAGAGGCACUGCGUAAUGUCCUAGUCACCAUACGAAAGCUUCCAAGACUGAAGAAGGACUCAACCCCUGCUCCAGCUCUGUGGUUACCUGGCCUCUGGUGGUCCCAUGAGGUAUUAACCAAAGUGACAUUGUGACUCUGAACACAGACUAGAAACCCACUAUGUAAAGCAGACACCAGCCAUAGUGAUGCUGCUGCGAGAUGAUGGGCACUGCCCUUAAAGGCAAGUCCGGGAAGAAGAGGGAUGCCACAGUCCAGCUGAGCUCCUGCUGCGCUGAACUCACAGGUGGCAAGAGGAAAAGCUGACGCCGGGGGAGAAGCCCGUGGUCUACAGUAGAUAGCAUCGUGAAGAUCGUGAUCCCCGGUGGACUGCGUGUAGGACGAGCUGGGAGUGUCGGGGGAGUACAUUUGGAGGAGCCUACAGUAUUGGCAGAGCAUGAAAGGGCCCCUGCAGGUUUUGAAGAGCUGCACGAGAUACUUGCGGAAUUUCUCCCCGAGGAAAAAGUAGAUGACGGGAUUAAGGCAGCAGUGAACGAAAGCCAGGGUCUCUGUGGCCUGAAUAGCGUAGUCCAGGUGCCUUUCAAAGGUGCAGUCCUGAAGGACCUCCAGUUCCACCAGAGUCUCCAGGAAGAGCACCACAUUGUAAGGCGCCCAGAACCCGAGAAAGAGGGCCACCACGGCAAAGACCAUCCUCACUGCUUUGCUCUUCUUCUCAUUUUUGCAGUGCUGCAGUGUCCUGAUGAUCAUGGAGUAGCAGAACAGCAUGGUGCCCAAGGGAAUCACCAAUCCCAGAAUGUUGAUCUCCAGGGAGCUCAGCACCUUCCACCUUGUAGAGUUGCGGGAGUACUUGGUUUUGCAGUAGGUAUGGUUGCGCUCGGUAUAACAGGUGCUGAAUAAAAGGCCUGGAAGAGAGGCCAGGACAGCCACAGACCACGUGGCCAAGCUAGUGAUGACCCCAUACGUCAAGGUCCUCGCCCUCAGGGAGAACACUGCAUGCACAAUUGCCAGGUAUCUGUCGAUGCUCAUGAGCAUGAUGAAGAAGAUGCCACUGUAAAAGCCCACCAGGUACAUCCAGGAAAUAAUCUUGCAGAGACCUAGUCCAAAAACCCACUGGUCUGCAGCAUAGUAGCCCCAGAAGGGGAGAGAGAGCACGAAGAGCAGGUCCGAGAUGGCAAGGUUGAGCAGGUACACGUCAGUCAUGGAUUUGAGCCUCUUGUACUUGAACAGGACCACAACCACCACAGAGUUUCCAAGGAGACCAAACAGGAAGACCAAGGAGUAGAGAGGGGGCAGGAAGAGCUCCCCAAAUGCCUUGAUGCCUUCUUUGGUGCAAGGCUUAGGGAUGUUUUCGUAGAGAUAGUAAUUAUUAUAGAUGCUUUCAUCCAAGGUGGUGUCUGCUAUAUCUGUGGGAUUCAUUUUCAAAUCUACAGGCUCCUCCACGCAGGUCUGAGCCCAAGCAGAAGCUUGUGAGGGGAAGAGCAAACAAGAUUUCCAUAAGAACAAAACUAAUCGAAAUGGUGCUGAAUACAGAGCACAGCUGCUUCUUACCUGGACCAUCACCCGCCCUUCCCCACCUUCCCAAGUUCAAGGGCUCCAUUCCCCGCAGGGCAGUGCAGCCAAACAGUAGAACUCUGCCCUUUGGAGUUAGCAGAUUCCAAGUACCAGCUCUGCCCCUUUCCUACCCCUCCUAGGGGAGCUUCAGAUCUCUCUUCUGUAAGUGGGGACAGUACAAACUCCUUCUCAAAGAGGUGUUUUCAAGGAUGCGUUUCUAAGCAAUAGUCUGGGUAACAGAAUCAUUUGCAGGCCACUUGAGAUUCCCAACAGUCCUGUACUCAGAGCUGCCUUUGUGACAUUAAGGCAAAGUAAAACAAAACAAAAAGAUUAAAACUCUACUCAUGGUUCCCCUUCAGAUUAUAACUCCAAAAAUUCAGUAGUUGCUUCAUUAACCACUAGGCUAAAUGGUUGGUCACCGGCCUUUAUAUAAAAAUUCAAGGACAGCUAGGUGGCUCAGCGGUUGAGCAUCUGCCUUCGGCCCAGGGCAUGAUCCCAGGGUCCUGGGAUGAGUCCCACUUCGGGCUCCCCGCAAGGAACCCGCUUCUCCCUCUGCCUGUGUCUCUGCCUCUCUCUGUCUCUCAUGAUUAAAUAAAAUCUUUAAAAAAAAAAUUCUAAUCCCUCCUGCAAGUUUGACACAUGGACUUCAAAGCAUGUUCCCUGGUAUUGUGCAUUUAAUCCUCUCCCAUGCUCCUGGCCCCUACCAGCCUCCCAAUAAAAA